rnacentral:rRNA from 1 species
UACGAAGGGGGCGAGCGUUGUUCGGAUUUACUGAACGUAUAGGGCGCGCAAGCGGUUCUGUUUGUCGAGUGUGAAAGCCCCGGGCUCAACCUGGGAACUGCGCUCGAAACGGCGGAACUAGAGUUCGGGAGAGGAGAGUGGAAUUCCCAGUGUAGAGGUGAAAUUCGUAGAUAUUGGGAAGAACACCGGUGACAAAAACGGCUCUCUGGACCGAUACUGACGCUGAGGCGCGAAAGCGUGGGGAGCAAACAGG